rnacentral:rRNA from 1 species
AGAGUUUGAUCAUGGCUCAGAACGAACGCUGGCGGCAUGCCUAACACAUGCAAGUCGAACGAGACCUUCGGGUCUAGUGGCGCACGGGUGCGUAACGCGUGGGAAUCUGCCCUUUGCUUCGGAAUAACAGUUAGAAAUGACUGCUAAUACCGGAUGAUGUCUUCGGACCAAAGAUUUAUCGGCAAAGGAUGAGCCCGCGUAGGAUUAGGUAGUUGGUGGGGUAAAGGCCUACCAAGCCGACGAUCCUUAGCUGGUCUGAGAGGAUGAUCAGCCACACUGGGACUGAGACACGGCCCAGACUCCUACGGGAGGCAGCAGUGGGGAAUAUUGGACAAUGGGCGCAAGCCUGAUCCAGCAAUGCCGCGUGAGUGAUGAAGGCCUUCGGGUCGUAAAGCUCUUUUACCAGGGAUGAUAAUGACAGUACCUGGAGAAUAAGCUCCGGCUAACUCCGUG